CCCCUAGAUGUUCUGGGCCGCACGCGCGCUACACUGAACAGUUCAACAAGUCUUAACCUUGGCCGAUAGGUCUGGGUAAUCUUUGAACGCUGUUCGUGAUUGGGAUAGACCUUUGCAAUUAUGGGUCUUCAACGAGGAAUUCCUAGUAAACGAAAGUCAUCAGCUUGCAUUGAUUACGUCCCUGCCCUUUGUACACACCGCCCGUCGCACCUACCGAUUGAAUGGUCCGGUGAAAUCUCGGGACGGCGGCUUGGUCGCUUGCGUCCGACUGCUGAAACUUGAUUAAACCAUAUCAUUUAGAGGAAGGUGAAGUCGUAACA
rnacentral:rRNA from 1 species